rnacentral:rRNA from 1 species
CAGUAGCCACGGGAAUACGUAGGGCGCAAGCGUUAUCCGGAAUUAUUGGGCGUAAAGAGCUCGUAGGCGGUUUGUCGCGUCUGCCGUGAAAGUCCGGGGCUCAACCCCGGAUCUGCGGUGGGUACGGGCAGACUAGAGUGAUGUAGGGGAGACUGGAAUUCCUGGUGUAGCGGUGAAAUGCGCAGAUAUCAGGAGGAACACCGAUGGCGAAGGCAGGUCUCUGGGCAUUAACUGACGCUGGGGAACGAAAGCAUGGGGAGCGAACAGGAUUAGAUACCCGCGUAGUCCCUGUCUCUUAUAC